AGCGAACGCUGGCGGCGUGCCUAACACAUGCAAGUCGAACGUGAAAAGGGAAACCUGAGUAAAGUGGCGUACGGGUGAGUAACGCGUAGGUAAUCUACCCCAGAAUCUGGAAUAACCUGCCGAAAGGCGGGCUAAUACUGGAUAGAGCGAGGGAACUCGUAAGAGAGUUUUUCAGGAAAGGGAGCCCGCAAGGGCCUUCGUUCUGGGAUGAGCCUGCGUCUCAUUAGCUAGUUGGUAAGGUAACGGCUUACCAAGGCGAUGAUGAGUAGCUGGUCUGAGAGGAUGAUCAGCCACACUGGAACUGAAACACGGUCCAGACUCCUACGGGAGGCAGCAGUGGGGAAUCUUGCGCAAUGGACGAAAGUCUGACGCAGCCACGCCGCGUGAGUGAAGAAGGCCUUCGGGUUGUAAAGCUCUGUCGGAUGGGACGAACAUCUUCAUAGUGAAUAGCUAUGAGGACUGACGGUACCAUCAAAGGAAGCACCGGCUAACUCCGUG
rnacentral:rRNA from 1 species